AAAUCAUGAUUGGGACAUUUUCUGAGCAACACCUGGUAACGCUCCCAAGCUUCAUAAAAGGCUUCAUCGGCACCUUGUUGGAAUGUUAAUAGUUCAAACUUUGCAUGC